rnacentral:rRNA from 1 species
GACGUGGGGGGCGAGCGUUGUCCGGAAUUACUGGGCGUAAAGCGUGCGCAGGCGGCUUCUCAAGUCAGGGGUGAAAGCCCAGAGCUCAACUCUGGAAUUGCCUUUGAGACUGAGUGGCUUGAGUACGAGAGAGGUGAGUGGAAUUCCCAGUGUAGAGGUGAAAUUCGUAGAUAUUGGGAAGAACACCGGUGGCGAAGGCGGCUCACUGGCUCAUUUCUGACGCUCAGGCGCGACAGCGUGGGGAUCAAACAGG